rnacentral:lncRNA from 1 species
GGAUGGUUCAGAUUAGCUUUAACCUUUGGAGAUAAAAUUGUCUGAAGCUUAUUGUUUGUAUUGACAUUUAGGUUUAGUUCAGUUUGUCUAUCUUCCUCCCUCAAGUAGGAGGGAGGCGAAGACACACCCAACUUGCCAAUAAUAGAUCAAUGAGCCUGUCCUGACAAAGGCUUGGUAAAGAUGUUGGCAAUUUGGAGACGCGAAGGAAGAUAAGACAGAGAAAUAAUGCCGGCGAGAAACUGUUGUCGGACAAAAUGGCAAUCCAGCUCCAUGUGCUUAGUACGCUCAUGAAAUACUAGAUUCUUUGCAAUGUGAAUCGCCGCUUGGCUAUCAGAGUGAAGAGUCACUGGCAAAGAUGGCGUAAUAGACAAAUCUUCAAAUAAUCGAACCAACUAGGUAAUUUCUGCUACUACCCUUCUCAUCGAACGAUAUUCUGCUUCAGCGGACGAUAAAGAAACUAAGGUUGUUUCUUUGACUUCUAGGAAAUCGGUGAACCCCCAAAAUUGAUGUAGAAUCCACUGAUUGAAUGACGUGAUUCUGGGCAAGAACCCCAAUCGGAAUUGCAAAAGGCAACAAGAGGCAAAGAUGGAACGGAAUUCAUGAAAAUCCCCAAACUUGGGUCCACAAGAAGAUACCUCAAACAAUGAAAAGCUGCAUCCAAAUGAGGUUGUCGAGGAGCCUGCAUGUAUUGGCUCAGGUGCUGAACUGCGAAAGACAGAUCAUGAUGUGUAUGAAUUAGGAAAUUCAACUUUUCUAAGAGUCAGCGGAAGAAAAUAGGAUCUAAUAUCAGUUCUCAUUCAUCAGCCCUAAGCUUACGGGUGGGAUCAAUGGGCGAGGAAGUAGGCUUCAAAUCAAGACAUCCAAACUCAGUCAAUAUAAAGCGUUUCUGAGUCAAAAUUAAUCCCAGCGGAUCACGUAUAAUUUUCAUGCCUAAGAAAUAGUGAGUAUGCCCAAAUCCUUGAUUUUAAAUUCAGCAUGAAGAAAUUCCUUUAGCUGAACUUGUUCAAUUGGAUCAUCCCCUAUAAUUAGAAUGUCAUCCACAUAUACUGUGAUGAGAAUAAUCUUCCCAUCUGAUUUAAAGUUCAAAGCUGCAGUUAGCCUGACAUACCACUGUUUUGAGGCUUGCCGCAGUUCAUAAAGUGACUUCCUUAAAAGACAGACAUGAUUAGGGGAAGGUGGUGAUAUUCCUGGUGGAAACUUCAUAAACACUUCUUCCUGCAAAUCACCAUGCAGGAAGGCAUUAUUGACGUCUAGUUGAAAUAAAUCCCAUCCUUUCUUGACUGCUAUUGCAAGAUUACACCUAAUAAUUGUCAUCUUAACCACCGGUGAAAAAGUCUCCAUGAAAUAAAUUUCUUCUCUUUGUGUGUCUCCUCUAAUGACCAAACGAGCUUUGAACCUUUCUAAAGAACCAUCAGAUUUAUAUUUUACCUUGUAAAUUCAUUUACAAGGUAGAGCCCCUUCCCUGUAGGCAAAGGAAUAAAAUCGCAACUCUUAUUUGCCUCAAAUUCUUUAGCCAUAGCCUCCUACCAACCUGGGUGAAGUGAUACUUAAGAGUAGAAUAUUGGCUCAGAUAUAUAUGAAAUAGAUUUGAGCAUGAUUUGAUUUGUGGGAGAAAGAGCACAAAAAGGCAAUACAAUUGAUUUAAUAGGUGCAAAGAAACAAGAAUCAGUAAGGUUAGUAAGAAAAACAUAAUUGCAUACAUAAUUAUUAAGAUAAACAUGGGGUCUUAUUUGUUCUGAUAAAUUUUCUGAUUUCAGGUAACAGAAGACAAACAAUAUUCAGAAGAGGUGAAUGAGAAUGAGUAAUUGAGAUAUGUGACGUAGGAUAGAUAAGAGAACUUCUAGCAAAUGGUAUUGGUGACUGGGAGUAGAUAGUUGAAAGUGGUGAAUAAGAACCAUGCAUGGUGAACCCCUAGCAAUAGAGUCAUGGUUGGAAAAAGUGGUAGUAGGUGAAGAAGGAAACUCAGAAAUAGGAACUCCAUGCUGAGAAGGCAAUGUAGGAAAAAGAGGUUGAUUUCUCACUUUAGAAAAAAAAGGAAAAAUGAAUUCAUGAAAUUUAACAUCACUAGAAACAAAAAGUUUCAUGUUUUGUAAAUUUAAAAACUUGUAACCCUUCUUCCCAAAAGAAUAUAAAGACACAAGGGACUGACCUUGGGUCAAGUUUACUUAUGUGAUGUGGUAAAGUGCUAGCAUAGACAAGGCAACCAAAACUCUUAAGAGAGUGAUACUGUAACACCCAGGAAAAUUUUGAAGAAUUUAAGUGUAAAGUCCGGUAAAAUUUGCAAAGAAAAUAUUGUUUCAUGGUGCCGGACCUUUUGGGUUGAACAAUGCACGGAAAAGUAAAGAAAUAUUUUUGGCGGAAAAGUGUAUUUCUACGGUCCAUUAUGCGACCGCAGAAUCACUCUGCGGACCGCAUAAUGGCCGCAAAGUGAGGCAGUUAAUUGGGUCAGUUGAAAGCAAUUAUGCGGUCGACUAUGCGACCGCAUAACUGUUAUGCGAUGUACUAUGCGACCGCAGAACAGUUAUGUGGACCGCAUAGUGACCGCAGACUCAGGCAGAUUUUUGGUCAUUUUGGACACCAAUUAUGCGACCGAUAUGCGGUCGCAUAUGCAACCGCAGAACCUGUUCCGGAGCUUCAUUUUUGAAUUUUUAAAACCCGACCCUAUUUCGUUAAAUACACUCUUUGGGUUAUUUUUGAGGUAUAAUAUGAUAUUUUAGAGUGAGAGAGAGUGCCCUAGAGUGAGAAGGUAUUCCUCAAUAAUUGAUUCUUCAAUUCUUGCUCAAGUUUUGGAAGAUUAAGGAGGGAAACUCACUAGGUCUUCAUCCUAGAGGUAAGAUUCUAUACCCUAACCCUCAAUUUCAAAUUUUGUCUAGAAAUGGGCAAUAAGCAAGAUAAUUUCUGGGCAAGAGGGUUAUUUAUUUUACAUGCAUGUGUUAUCAAAGGGUGUAGAAAGAUUGUUGAGCUAAAAAUGGUAAAGAUUGGGUUGUGGGAUGAUGGAAUCCUCCAUAAAAGGACCUUGAACCUUAAUCCACACUUAGUGUUUGACGAAAUGCUAAAAUAAGCUGAGACCAUGAAUAUCUUCCUAAUUAUGGUUCAAUUUUGUUAUGUCUCAAAUAGAUUGGGAUUGCUAAAAUUUCUGGAAUAUUAUAGUAAUUUAAGAAAAGCUCAAUUAAGGUAUGUUGGCUAAAUUUUCUCUCUUGGAAUUGAAUUCCAUAAUAUUUAUGUGAGUUUCAAAGUAUGGGUUGGGUAUUAAAAUGUGGUGGCUUGAAUCGUAUUUCAAAUGAAAGUUAGUAUGCCAAAUUGUGUGAGAAAAUCUCAAUAUUCUUAAGACUCUUAAUUGCUCAUAUGUGUACCUAAAUUCUUGAUUGGGAAUGUCUUAUUGUUUAUAACCUAUAAAGAUGGUUGGAAGUAAAAUCAGUAAAUUGAGAAUAUAAAGUGUGACCAACGUGCCAAUAGUGAAAGUUAUACUUGUGACCAAUGGUGCCAAUGAAAUGAAAUAAUGUGAGAAAGAUUAUGAAAUGAGUUUUGACUCAACUAUUUCAAAAUUGACUUCGACAAUAUAAUCGGCUAAAAUUUUAUGAACUCAAGUGAUGCCCAUAUGCGGUUGUUAUAGCUAAUGCUAUGCUUUAUAAGUAAUUUUCAAUGUGUUUUGCGUUCUUACAUAUUCGUGAGUGGAAAUUGUGUAUGAUUUUAUCUUGUACUUCAAUUGCCAAUCAUUUUACUCCAUUUAUUGGAAAGAAAUCGAUUGUGUUUAAAGCCUUCAUUACUAAUGAAUUUAAAGUUGUGAUUUCUGGAAUAUUCUAUUUGUUGAUAAUUAUGAUGAUGAUCUAUGAAAGGAAAGAAAUAAAAGUGUGGAAUAUGAAAUACGGCUAUUGCGCCAUGAACAAAGGAUCAUAUGAAUGGACAAGAGAUCCAAUGAAAUAAUAAUGGUGUAAGUUGUUGAAAGUACGGAUUAGGUGAUAUGUGGUGUGAAAGGUUAUGAGAUGUACGUAUUUGUACUUUUGUUUCCAAUGUGUUAUGAAACCCUAUGGACGGUCUAUGAAACGCAUAUGUAUAUUGUGUUAUGAAACCCUGUGGACGGUCUAUGAAACACAUAGGUAUAUUGUGUUAUGAAAUCCUGUGGACAGUCUAUGAAACGCAUAGGUACAUCAUGUUAUGAAGUACAUUGUGUUAUGAAAUCCUGUGGAUGGUCUAUAAAAUACAUAGGUACAUUGUGUUAUGAAAUCCUGUGGACGGUCUAUGAACGCAUAGGUACAUUGUGAUAUGAAAUCCUGUGGACGGUCUAUGAACGCAUAAGUACAUUGUGUUAUAAAAUUCAUUGUGAUAUGAAAUCCUGUGGACGGUCUAUGAAACGCAUAGGUGCAUUGUGUAUAAGAGGUAUAGAUGUGCGGUAUGAAUAAACACUAUGGACGGUCUAUGAAAUGCAUAAGUGUAUAAUAUGAUAUGUGAACACUAAGGACGGUCUAAUGAGUCACAUUAUUAAUGCAGGCAAUAGGUGCCCCUUUUGUUGUCUUUGUUUGUACAGGUUGUUUCAAUUACAUUAUAUUAUGUGUUCUACGUAUAGAUCAUAUGGGCAUUCUAUUUUGAAAGAGGAUUUCUAGCUAUACAUACUAGUGCUAUUCGACAGUACUAACGUCCCUUUUGUCGGGGGCACUGCAUCUUUAAUGGAUGCAGGUGAUUCUACAGCAGGUGACAUUGAUCAGUGAUAGCAGUACACUCCUUUCAGCUGAUUUGGUGAGCCCCACUUCAUUUCGAGAUCAUGUAUCUUUUGUUUCUCAUGUACUUUGUGGUUGAAGUAUAGCCGGGGCCUUGUUGCCGACAUUUCCAUAUUACUCUUCUGUUGUACUUAGAGGCUCCGUAGACAGGUUGUGGGUGAUAUUUGAUAUUGGGAAUUGGAUUAGAACUGUUGGUAUUUGGCAACAUAUUUUUCAUUAAAUCUAUAAACUCGUCCUAUUUUGGAAAUAUUGAAUGAUACUGUUAAUGGGAAUGAAAUGGAAGCGGUUAAUGAAAUCUCUUUAGUAUUUGAUUAACGGAGUACGUCUCCUCUUUAUUCACGAAUGAUUUUGGGUAGAAUGAAAUCUAACAGGCUUGCUCAGUCGGAUUCACUCGGUUGAGCUUCGGCCGCGCUUCUCGGUUUUGGGGCGUGACAGAUACGAAGGUGGAAUUCCAAAUAAAAUCUCGAAGUGGCUUUUGAGCUUAAGAACCUUGGAAGGGAACCUAUUGAUGAGAUAUGUGGCUAUUAGAAAAUAUUCUCCCCAAAAAAUAAUAGAAAGUUUUGAUUGAUAGAAUAGAGCCCUACAAGUCUCCAAAAGAUGCUUAUGUUUCCUCUCAACAACACCAUACACAAGUUGUUUGGUGUAUUAUACCUUGAGAGAAAAGAAA